AGAGUUUGAUCCUGGCUCAGGACUAACGCUGGCGGCGURCAUAACACAUGCAAGUCGAACGAGAAAGUGGGGGUAACUCCAUGAGUAAAGUGGCAAACGGGUGAGUAAUGUAUGAAUAACCUGCCCUCAAGAUUGGGAUAACCUGCCGAAAGGCGGACUAAUACCGGAUAAGCCCACAUCCCGGUUUUAUCGGGAUGCGGGAAAAGGUGGUCAAUGCUUGCAAACUACCACUUGAGGAGGGGUUCAUAUCCUAUUAGCUAGUUGGUAGGGUAAUGGCCUACCAAGGCAAAGAUGGGUAGCCGGUCUGAGAGGAUGUUCGGCCACACUGGAACUGAGAAACGGUCCAGACUCCUACGGGAGGCAGCAGUGGGGAAUUUUCCGCAAUGGGCGCAAGCCUGACGGAGCAACGCCGCGUAAGGGAUGAAGGCCUUCGGGUCGUAAACCUUUGUCGUGCAAGAAGAAUGUCUUUCGGGUGAAUAAUCCGGAAGAAUGACUGUAUUGCAGGAGGAAGCUCCGGCUAACUACGUGCCAGCAGCCGCGGUAAGACGUAGGGAGCUAGCGUUGUCCGGAAUUAUUGGGCAUAAAGGGCGCGUAGGUGGUUAGGUAAGUCACUUGUUUAAUCCGCAAGCUUAACUUGCGAUCGGCAGGUGAAACUAUCUAGCUAGAGUAUAGGAGAGGAAAGUGGAAUUCCCAGUGUAGCGGUGAAAUGCGUAGAUAUUGGGAAGAACACCGGUGGCGAAGGCGGCUUUCUGGACUAUUACUGACACUGAGGCGCGAAAGCCAGGGGAGCAAACGGGAUUAGAUACCCUGGUAGUCC
rnacentral:rRNA from 1 species